rnacentral:rRNA from 1 species
UACAGAGGGUGCGAGCGUUAAUCGGAAUUACUGGGCGUAAAGCGUGCGUAGACGGCUAUCUAAGUCGGGUGUGAAAGCCCCGGGCUCAACCUGGGAAUUGCAUUCGAGACUGAAUAGCUAGGGUACGGUAGAGGGAAGCGGAAUUUCCGGUGUAGCGGUGAAAUGCGUAGAUAUCGGAAGGAACAUCAGUGGCGAAAGCGGCUUCCUGGACCAGUACCGACGUUCAGGCACGAA